ACAAUGUUUCGGACCAAGAAGCUUAUGGAAGGAAGUCAAUUAAUCAAAUAACACAACAUUCUCCCGGGUAAUGUAAACAAUUUAAACAAGGCUUCAUGCUUCAGCCAAUCAUCAAACAGCAGUAA